rnacentral:rRNA from 1 species
GACGAACGCUGGCGGCGUGCUUAACACAUGCAAGUCGAACGGAAAGGCCCUGCUUUUGUGGGGUGCUCGAGUGGCGAACGGGUGAGUAACACGUGAGUAACCUGCCCUUGACUUUGGGAUAACUUCAGGAAACUGGGGCUAAUACCGGAUAGGAGCUCCUGCUGCAUGGUGGGGGUUGGAAAGUUUCGGCGGUUGGGGAUGGACUCGCGGCUUAUCAGCUUGUUGGUGGGGUAGUGGCUUACCAAGGCUUUGACGGGUAGCCGGCCUGAGAGGGUGACCGGCCACAUUGGGACUGAGAUACGGCCCAGACUCCUACGGGAGGCGGCAGUGGGGAAUAUUGCACAAUGGGCGGAAGCCUGGUGCAGCAACGCCGCGUGCGGGAUGACGGCCUUCGGGUUGUAAACCGCUUUCGCCUGUGACGAAGCGUGAGUGACGGUAAUGGGUAAAGAAGCACCGGCUAACUACGUG